CUACUCCAUCAUUACUCUACCACCGCCUAUAUGGAUGUCAUUGUCAGUGUGAAGCUGAGUAAGGAACAACGUGCACCAGACUCACAGAGAAAAAUGGACAAGCGAGCUGGCCUUUGUAUCACUAAAGGGAAGAGGCAGAAUCUCAAGACAUUGCCCAGGCUGGUCUCUAAGCCCUGGCCCCAAGCGAUCCUCUCACCUCAGGCUCCCAAAGUGCUGGGAUUACAGGUGUGAGCCACUGUGCCCAGCUGCUUUAUCAUGGUUAAUGUUAUUUGAUCACAUGGAUGAGGCAGUUUAGCUCAGUUUUCUUCACAUAAAAUUAAUAUUAUUCCUCUUUUCAUGUUGUACAUUUUGGCAAAAACAUCACUAUACCCAGCGCAUACAUAGAAAGUAGGAAAUUAUGCCCCAUUCCCCUAUGAGCAGACUUUCUAUAAACAUGAUUUCAGUUUCUGUAAAAAAUAUUUAACAUUCUUUAGGCUGUUCUGGAUCAGUUGCAUUUUUCUGUGUGUUUUAGAAUCAGUGGUCCAAGAACUGUUAAAAAUGAAAAAAAAAUAGUUAGAAUUUUAGUAGGGCUUGUUUUAAAUCUGAAGAUGCAUUUAGAAAGUAUAAGCAUCUUGGUUAAUACCUAAUAGCUUUCUGAUCAAUGAAAAUCUAGUUUAUAUGGCAUAUUACACUAAUUCUUGUAUUCAUUUAUUUAGGAUUUCUUUAAUAA
rnacentral:lncRNA from 1 species